rnacentral:tRNA from 1 species
ACCUCGCUGGCUCAGACGGUAGAGCUUACAACUCUUGAUCUUGGAGGUGUGAGUUCAAAUCUCACACUGGGUG